GGACUACUGGGGUAUCUAAUCCCGUUCGCUCCCCUAGCUUUCGCGCCUCAGCGUCAGUCGCAGGCCAGGACGCCGCCUUCGCCACUGGUGUUCCUCCGGGUCUCUACGCAUUUCACCGCUACUCCCGGAGUUCCACGUCCCUCUCCUGCACUCAUACAGCACAGCCGUUAUCGGUGACCCUCCCCAGUUGAGCCGGGGGCUUUCACACCGAUCGUACUGCGCCGCCUACGCGCGCUUUACGCCCAGUAAUUCCGGACAACGCUCGCCUCCUACGUAUUACCGCGGCUGCUGGCAC
rnacentral:rRNA from 1 species